ACUCUUCAACCCACCGGUUCCUUGUUGGACCGUGUUGGUGUUUGGAUUUUGAGCGCCUGCAGUCGAAAGACUGCUCGCUCGUAAUGCAUUAGCAUCUCAAUUUCGAACCUCGGAUUGACUCAGCGUAAUAGACUAUUCGCUGAGGACACUCUUUCAUUAGGGUGGCCGAAUUGUAGAUAACAGUAGAAGCUGCCAACCCUUCUAGUCAAAUCUUUAGA
rnacentral:misc_RNA from 1 species